CAGCCGCCAGUCGGGUGUCGGUCGUCAACUGGCAAGGACCAAGUCCGAGCUGCCCCGCCAACAUAACUUACCCGCGCGGAUACAUUCCAAAUAGUUACUCAAAUACUAACUUUUAAAUGAUAGCCAAUAUUACUAUUACAAGUGAACGACUUCGGUACAUUUAAGAUGUUCCAGUGUACAAAAUCCCUCUCAAGGGUUUUCCUGUUGCUACUUAUAUUUAAAACAUCUCACGGACAAUAUUCUCCCGGAUCAAGUUUUACAGAAGAUGACGCAACCAACCCUAGCGAUGUGGAGUCUCGUGAUGUCGGUACUGAGCUGCAGUACAAAUACCAUGACCACGAGGAGAUGACACGCUACCUGCGGGCCGUCUCCGCCAGAUAUCCAGCGCUCACAGCGCUCUACUCCAUAGGAAAGUCCGUCCAAGGUCGAGAUCUCUGGGUGAUGGUGGUGUCGGCAUCGCCCUAUGAGCAUAUGAUUGGCAAGCCAGAUGUCAAAUACGUAGCCAAUAUACACGGCAACGAAGCUGUCGGAAGGGAGAUGCUUUUACAUCUUAUACAGUACUUAGUGACUUCCUACGAGACGGAUUCCUACAUAAAAUGGUUAUUAGACAACACACGCAUACAUUUGAUGCCAUCGAUGAACCCUGAUGGUUUUCUCAUAUCUCGUGAAGGACAGUGUGACACCAUUCAUGGCAGGCACAACGCCCGUCGCUACGACUUGAACCGUAACUUCCCGGAUUUCUUCAAACGGAACACGAAGCAGCCUCAACCGGAGACGGAAGCUGUAAAGGAAUGGAUAAGCAAGAUACAGUUCGUACUAUCAGGAUCGCUACACGGCGGCGCCCUGGUCGCCUCCUACCCUUACGACAACACGCCCAGCGCUAAUCCCCUGAACGCAGUUUUCCAAAGCUACGCGCACAGUCCGUCGGUAUCGCCCGAUGAUGACGUCUUCCAGCACUUGGCCCGCGUGUACUCCAGCAACCACGACAAGAUGUCCCGAGGAGUCUCUUGCAAAUCCGGAUCACCCAAGUUUGAUAACGGAAUCACUAAUGGCGCGGCCUGGUAUCCACUGACAGGCGGAAUGCAAGACUACAACUACCUGUGGCAUGGAUGUAUGGAAAUUACUCUAGAGAUCUCAUGCUGCAAAUAUCCGCUGGCUCAUGAGCUACCGAAAUACUGGCAGGAUAACAAACAGGCGCUUAUAAAGUAUCUAGCUGAAGCCCACCGCGGCGCCCACGGGUUCGUGAUGGACGAACACGGUAACCCGGUGGAAAAGGCUUCGAUCAAGGUUAAAGGACGCGAGGUCACGUUCCAUACAACUAAAUACGGAGAAUUCUGGCGUAUACUACUCCCUGGAACUUAUAGACUAGAGGUCGGAGCCGAUGGGUAUUUACCACAAGAAGUAGAAUUCUUCGUCAUAGACAGCCACCCCACUCUGUUGAACGUAACGCUGCAUUCCGCCAAGGGGCACGUGAGCCUGAGUACGCGCGCACCACUAACCAAAACAACUGCGACGAAGAAAUCCGUGGCCUUUCCCAAGGAUUAAAUAAAAAAUACCCAAACAUAACAGACGAAACGAGCAUUUUCUAUGGGAUCUAGCUCGUAUCGAUGGCGGGGGUCCUUACUACCGGCCAGCACCGCGCCCGCCGCCACCGCCCGCGCCGGGUCUGUUCUCAACAUUCACUAAUUCCAUCAACAGUUUCGUAUCUAAUAUAUUUGGCUAGGUCCUUCAUCGUAUGAUUGUUAUUUAUUAUGUAAUAACGCUAUGUUGAUACUUGAGAUCACAUUCGUCAUUUCGUCUACAGUUGAAAUUCACUCCUAUGUAGUGCAAUUUCAGAGUACUAGUACGUACCUACCGAAUAGUUAUAAGUAAUCAUUAAACACUUUAUAAUUUCGAUGUAAGACUGCAAUAGUAUUUUAUUAUCUUUUAAUUUAUUUACACACAACAGAAACCUUUCAAGGUAGUAAUUGUCAAGGUAGCAAGAUCAUAUUUUGUGCCUCUUACACUAUUUAAUAGUUUUUGACAUUUUCAUUAUUUAAACAAUACUUUGAAGAAAAUGUCACAUUAAUAAUGUCCGACAUUAUUUUAUUUAACAGCUCUUGUAAAUAUAUUCAAGUUAAGCAUGCAUAAUUUAUUUAAAUAAAAAAUGUUAAG